AACACCCGCCCUAGCAGAACCAGGCCAAUUACUCUUCAACCCCAAAAAAUUCUGUCGCGAGCCAAGCAUCCCGCUGUUCUUGUUGUGAUCCAGUCCAUUCCAUGCAUGAAGAAAAAAAAAAAAUGGGGCAGGAGAAGAACUUGUGGAGAACGGGGAAAACAAAGGGUGCCAGCGAAGAAAAUAUUGUUUUAGUUGACUAGUUGACUACUCUUUUUAACUAGUUAUCAAUUAUCAGCAGAAUGUUUGGCUUCACAUGCGGGUUGAAAACUACGAGUGAGAAAGAAAUUUUUUAAAAUUAUGAGCAACAAUACGAAUCUGUAAUCCCCUUGAUAAACCGUGCGAUGUGAUGAUCUACUUUAAAUAGAAUGGAGUAAAAUAAAAUAAAACAAGUUAAACAAUGGAUUCGCAUAGGUAAAUCGGUUGCAAUAAGCAUCAUUGUCAUUAUUAUCAUCACCAUCACACUCAAAUCACAAGUUUCAAAACGAUUGAAACAUAGAGGUAUUCUAAUCCUAGCGUAAGGCGACUGGUACAAUAGCUAUACAGCAAAUAACAAUAAAGGGAUAUAACUAAUCCAAAUGCAAAAACAGCUAUACGAAACCCGUGGGUACCCGCAUUGUCAUACAUGGUGUCAAGCAAGCCAAAAAAAAUAAAAAUAAAUAACAAAAGGCCGUAAAAAUAAAUCUGUAUAUAGGUAUAGGUAUAUGUAGAAGAAACAUCAAACACUCAUAACCAAACAAUCAUUCAAUACUCAUUCAAUUUCAACACUUUCCCAACCAACUUACGCUUCGGAGGCUUAUCCCGAUCUCGAUCCGCCUGCAAACCCUUCAGCGCAUGCAGCAACAUCCCC
rnacentral:sRNA from 1 species